rnacentral:tRNA from 1 species
AUAGCCGGGAUAGCUCAGUUGGUAGAGCAAAGGACUGAAAAUC